rnacentral:tRNA from 1 species
GAUGAAGUGGCUGAAUUAAGUGAUAAAUUGUAAAUUUAUUUAUGAAAUGUGAAUUUCCUUUAUUA